rnacentral:rRNA from 1 species
UAGGGAAUCUUCCGCAAUGGACGCAAGUCUGACGGAGCAACGCCGCGUGAGUGAAGAAGGAUUUCGGUUCGUAAAGCUCUGUUGUUAAGGAAGAACGAGUGUGAGAAUGGAAAGUUCAUGCUGUGACGGUACUUAACCAGAAAGGGACGGCUAACUACGUGCCAGCAGCCGCGGUAAUACGUAGGUCCCGAGCGUUGUCCGGAUUUAUUGGGCGUAAAGCGAGCGCAGGGGGUUAGAAAAGUCUGAAGUGAAAGGCAGUGGCUCAACCAUUGUAGGCUUUGGAAACUGUUUAACUUGAGUGCAGAGGGGGAGGGUGGAAUUCCAUGUGUAGCGGUGAAAUGCGUAGAUAUAUGGAGGAACACCGGUGGCGAAAGCGGCUCUCUGGUCUGUAACUGACGCUGAGGCUCGAAAGCGUGGGGAGCGAACAGG